rnacentral:rRNA from 1 species
UACGUAGGGUGCGAGCGUUGUCCGGAAUUAUUGGGCGUAAAGGGCUCGUAGGCGGGUUGUCGCGUCGGGAGUGAAAACCAUGGGCUUAACUCAUGGCUUGCUUUCGAUACGGGCAGACUAGAGGUAUGCAGGGGAGAACGGAAUUCCUGGUGUAGCGGUGAAAUGCGCAGAUAUCAGGAGGAACACCGGUGGCGAAGGCGGCCUUCUGGACAGUGACUGACGCUGAGACGCGAAAGCGUGGGGAGCAAACAGG